rnacentral:lncRNA from 1 species
GUGACUUGAUCUGUUGGUGACUCUUGGUCCUGUUGGUGACUAUUGGUUCCCGUUGGUGACUUGGUCCAGAGAUAUGGGUUUCAGAUGACUUUGUGGUUCUGAAUUCAAGCCGAAACUUUGAACCUGUGCUCCGAGAUACAUAGCCAGCCAGUCAUGUUUGCAUCAUUUGCAUCAUAGCAUGUUUAUUUUCAAAAAAAUAAUGCAAUACAAAAAAAGAAAUCAAAAAAGAAAAGAAAAGAAAAGAAAAAAGCUAAUCUCCUCAUGCAUAUCAUUUCUCAGGUUCAUUCAG